GAUGAACGCUAGCUACAGGCUUAACACAUGCAAGUCGAGGGGAAACGACAUCGAAAGCUUGCUUUUGAUGGGCGUCGACCGGCGCACGGGUGAAUAACGCGUAUCCAACCUGCCCAUCACUUGGGGAUAACCUUGCGAAAGUAAGACUAAUACCCAAUGACGUCUCUAGAAGACAUCUGAAAGAGAUUAAAGAUUUAUCGGUGAUGGAUGGGGAUGCGUCUGAUUAGCUUGUUGGCGGGGUAACGGCCCACCAAGGCUACGAUCAGUAGGGGUUCUGAGAGGAAGGUACCCCACAUUGGAACUGAGACACGGUCCAAACUCCUACGGGAGGCAGCAGUGAGGAAUAUUGGUCAAUGGACGAGAGUCUGAACCAGCCAAGUAGCGUGCAGGAAGAUGGCCCUAUGGGUUGUAAACUGGUUUUAUAAGGGAAUAAAGUGAGUCUCGUGAGACUUUUUGCAUGUACCUUAUGAAUAAGGACCGGCUAAUUCCGUGCCAGCCGCCGCGGUAA
rnacentral:rRNA from 1 species